GCCAGCGGAGAUAGCACGUUGUAUGCAACAGUUCUCAAUGGAUCACUGAAGUUAAGAAACGUUACGCGUGGUUAGUAUCCGGAUGGCUGACCAUCUGGGGAGUCGUGAGCUGCUGGCU
rfam:Asian citrus Psyllid, Diaphorina citri - Florida Strain, whole genome shotgun sequence.